rnacentral:rRNA from 1 species
UACAGAGGGUGCGAGCGUUAAUCGGAAUUACUGGGCGUAAAGGGCGCGCAGGCGGCUUUGUUUGUCAGGCGUGAAAGCCCCGGGCUUAACCUGGGAACUGCGUUUGAUACGGCAGGGCUAGAGUUCGGGAGAGGAGAGUGGAAUUCCCAGUGUAGAGGUGAAAUUCAUAGAUAUUGGGAAGAACACCGGUGGCGAAGGCGGCUCUCUGGACCGAGACUGACGCUGAGGCGCGAAAGCGUGGGGAGCAAACAGGG